rnacentral:rRNA from 1 species
GACGAACGCUGGCGGCGUGCUUAACACAUGCAAGUCGAACGGAAAGGCCCUGCUUGCAGGGUACUCGAGUGGCGAACGGGUGAGUAACACGUGGGUGAUCUGCCCUGCACUUCGGGAUAAGCCUGGGAAACUGGGUCUAAUACCGGACAGGAGCCAUUUUUAGUGUGAUGGUUGGAAAGUUUUUUCGGUGUAGGAUGAGCUCGCGGCCUAUCAGCUUGUUGGUGGGGUAAUGGCCUACCAAGGCGGCGACGGGUAGCCGGCCUGAGAGGGUGGACGGCCACACUGGGACUGAGAUACGGCCCAGACUCCUACGGGAGGCAGCAGUGGGGAAUAUUGCACAAUGGGCGCAAGCCUGAUGCAGCGACGCCGCGUGGGGGAUGACGGCCUUCGGGUUGUAAACUCCUUUCGCUAGGGACGAAGCUUUUUGUGACGGUACCUAGACAAGAAGCACCGGCUAACUACGUG